UUGGCAAUGGCUGAUAAAGUUGUGUAAUAGAGUCUACUCUUCAUUGCAUGGAUAAUGUUGAUCCAAAUCCCAGGAAAGCCAAUCUUUUUUCAACAAAUCAUGAGAAAACUGCAAAUUCUUCCAUCUGGACUACAUGAGAAGAGCAUUGCCCAUUGCCUCGGUGCUUGAUCUUGAAAACCUACUGAAAACAAUGGUACUAUGCCUUCUCAAUAUUGGAAAUUUCAAUAACUGAAAAACAUACCUUUGUUGAAGAAUCCUUUGGGUUAAGAGGCGGAGUUAACACGAAGGAGCAUGAGACUUCCAGACUUUGAAAUCAAAUCAUUCAAGAAGUGACACCUCUCAGAAGGAAGGG